ACUGAAGUCCGAAAAAAGAUUGCUUGCGAGAUUGCAAGUGCCAAGCACUUUGCUUUUUCGGUUGAUUUUACACCCGAUUCAAGUCGUAGGGACCAACUUACAGUGGUCAUUCGUUGCGCCGCUAACGAUGAGCCUGAAUAACUUUUUCUUGUGUUUUUACCGAUAACCAGUCACAAAAGGGAAGAUCUCACGAAGUCAACAAUCGACUUCUUAAGAAAUCUUGUGGAGUUCAGUCACAAAACACAAAGGACAAGAAGAGAGGUUCAUACCACAACGACUCAACUUUCAAGACUGUCAUGGCCAGUCAUACGACAAUGCGAGCAAUAUGGCUGGCAAAUAGUCCGGCAUACAGGCUCAUUUGAAAAAAUCACUCCGCAAGCAAAUUUAACCCUUGCGCUGCUCACUCACUUAACCUGGUCGGGGCGAAUUCUGUAGAUUCUUAUGGGCAAGCUGUUAGUUUUUUCGGGCUUGUACAGCGUAUAUAUGUUUUCUUUGCUGCGUCUACACAUCGCUGGGCUGUAUUCCAGGCUCACUUGAAACAAAACGUGACAGUGGUAAUCACAAAGCAAGUCUCAGAACGAACAGAAACAAAGCAUGAGACAAAUUCUUUGCUGAAGGCAAUGGCAAUGUUGGAAACUACACUGAUGGUCGAGUUUUAUGAUAGAGUUUUGCAGCACUUCAAUGCCACCAGCAAGGUACAUCAGAGCCCAACACUGUCAUUGAACGCUGCCGUAAGGCUGAUGAAAUCGUUGUGUGAUUAUGUAUCCGGCUUAAGAGAGAGCUUCAGUGAAAUUAAAAAGCUUGCGAAGGAAGCGUCGGACAAUGCUUCUUGCAACGCAAGCACCGAGAGAAAGUGAAAAGAAUCGACACGAUGCGACAACACUGAAGGCAUGAGCACGCCAGAGCGACAAAAUUAUUCACCUAAGUUCCGAUAUGAAGCCAUCUUCAUCAUGAUACUCUUGUGCACACUCUCACAGCUCGCUUGAGCACUUACACCAAAUUCUACUCGCAGUUUGCUGUUAUUACAGACUAGAACUGCUUUUUCCCAACACAGAGGCACCUUCUGAUCCUUCUGUCUGGCUGCCACAUUUCCCAAUGAGCUUGAACAGUUUAUUUCAUUUGUGAGCUACGAAGGCUGUUCUUGUGUUGCAGACAUGCUGAAACUUCUAAUUCGUUAAAAUCUUGAAGGUUAAUUCCCAGAUGUUCAUGUUGUUGCUAGGAUUUUUGUGUUUGAUGGUCACGAAUUGCACUAGCGAAUGAUCAUUCAGCAUGCUUAAAUUGAUCAAGACAGGCUUCGAUCAACGAUGACUGACAGCCGCCUCAGCGUUUUGUCGCUGUGAGCGUGGAGACGGAGAUCCUUAAGAGGGUCAAUGUUGAAGAUCUCGUCAACUGUCCCGGCAAAGCGCAUUAAAACACUUGUAGACACAUGCAUACCUUUCUUUCUUUUCUUAAAAUAUGAAUAAAAAGAUAAAACAUGUUAAUACAUAUACAUGCCCCAUUUAAAGGUUGAAUUUCUGCGAUACGCAUAACCUAUUUUCUACACUCUGUUGAAGUAGAAAAUUUUUGUAAAAAUAUAAAUUUUUUGAGCAAUUUAAUAGCAGAAAAGGCGUAUGUAAUAUGAAUGUGUUUCCUUCUCUUAUAAACUCGUUCAAAAAUGUAAGUUUAUUGCCUGUUAAAAGUGAACCAUCUGUGCAUAAAUGAAACUAUGUAUGAUUGUUUAUUCGAGGAUGUUAUUAAAAACAUUUACCUUUCUUUCAGCAUGAACCAUCUGGACUGACAAAUCAUGCUGUCUCUCUUCGUCUCCUAGUAUAGUUCAAUUCCUAUGACAACUCUCCACAUGCUCUGCGAGAAAGUAGUCGCCCAGACGAUGUUCAUAAACACUCCAGAGAUUCAAGAGGCAUCCCCCUGCUCCUUGAGCCUCAAUACUCCACAGUAAUUGUGGAUUAAAGACAGUUUUCAAGUUUUCAUUCUGCUUUUUGUUAUGCAACAAUGCAUAUAUAAUGUGCACUUCUGUUUUUUACAUGGAAUGCUUAUAUGAAAAGAUAUUAAAUAUAUACAAUCUUGUUAUAAAAUAUAUUUAGUUCUGUUCUUUGAUGCAACUGCUUCUGUUAGUGUGUACCGGCCACGUCAGUGUGAAUUUUCCACACUUUAUUUUUUUCGGUAUUCAUUUUUUGUUUAAUCUAUGGUUCUUCUUUCUUUGUGUGUGCAUGUAUUUGCAUGGCUGUCUGCUGGUCAUCAAGAAUGAACGUGCUGCAAGCCUCUGAUUUGUGCACUGAUUUUGUGCACUUCUACUGUUGAGCUGAGUAUCAACGCGCUCCCAGUGUCCAGCAACUGCGGAUCGUGACAAGUUGCAUCAGGAACGCCGCCACUGCUGUAACUUC